rnacentral:rRNA from 1 species
GUCUGGUGCCAGCAGCCGCGGUAAUUCCAGCUCCAAUAGCGUAUAUUAAACUUGUUGCAGUUAAAAAGCUCGUAGUUGAAUUUCUGCGUCACCGUAUUUUGACUUUUGUCGACUGUCGGUUUCGCUUUUGGGAUUUAUCCCUUUUUACUUUGAGAAAAUUAGAGUGUUUCAAGCAGACUUUUGUCUUGAAUACUUCAGCAUGGAAUAAUAGAGUAGGACUUUGGUUCUAUUUUGUUGGUUUGUGAACCUUAGUAAUGGUUAAUAGGAACGGUUGGGGGCAUUCGUAUUUAACUGUCAGAGGUGAAAUUCUUAGAUUUGUUAAAGACGAACUACUGCGAAAGCAUUUGCCAAGGACGUUUUCAUUAAUCAAGAACGAAAGUUAGGGGAUCGAAGACGAUCAGAUACCGUCGUAGUC